rnacentral:rRNA from 1 species
GACGAACGCUGGCGGCGUGCCUAAUACAUGCAAGUAGGACGCAGUUGCGAACGGGUGAGUAACGCGUAGGUAACUACCUAUUAGAGGGGGAGAACUAUUGGAAACGAUAGCUAAUACCGCAUACUAGUAGAUGGACCUGCGUUGUAUUAGCUAGUAGGUAGGGUAAUGGCCUACCUAGGCAACGAUACAUAGCCGACCUUGGAGGGUGAUCGAGCACACUGGGACGGAGGCACGGCUCCGACUCCUUCGGGAGGCAGCAGUAGGGAAUCUUUGGAAAAGGGGGGCACCCUGACCGAGGAACGGCGCGUGAGUGAAGAAGGUUUUUGGAGCUUAAAGCUCUGUUGUUCAGGAAGCGGUACUUAAACAGAAAGGAACGGCUAACUACGUGCCAGCAGCCGCGGUAAUAC